UGGUGGAGUGAUUUGUCUGGUUGAUUCCGAUAACGAACGAGACGGGAAAAGUUUACUAGUUUAUCUUGAAUAAUUCACGUUAUUCUAAACUUCUUUACUUGACAACUUGGUUUUACCAAGAGGAAGCGUCCCGCAAUAACA
rnacentral:rRNA from 1 species